AGCGUAGACGGUAGACCAAGUCUGAAGUGAAAGCCCGGGGCUCAACCCCGGAACUGCUUUGGAAACUGGUAAACUAGAGUGCAGGAGAGGUAAGUGGAAUUCCUAGUGUAGCGGUGAAAUGCGUAGAUAUUAGGAGGAACACCAGUGGCGAAGGCGGCUUACUGGACUGUAACUGACGUUGAGGCUCGAAAGCGUGGGGAGGCAAAACA
rnacentral:rRNA from 1 species